rnacentral:rRNA from 1 species
UACGGGGGGGGCAAGCGUUGUUCGGAAUUACUGGGCGUAAAGGGCUCGUAGGUGGCCAACUAAGUCGGACGUGAAAUCCCUCGGCUUAACCGGGGAACUGCGUCCGAUACUGGUUGGCUUGAGUUUGGGAGAGGGAUGCGGAAUUCCAGGUGUAGCGGUGAAAUGCGUAGAUAUCAGGAGGAACACCUGUGGUGUAGACAGCUUACUGGACCACUUCUGACGCUGAGACACGAAAGCGUGGGUAGCAAACAGG